GCCUCCACCACCUGUUUACUUGCCACCACCUCCGGUUUACUCACCUCCUCCACCGAUUUAUUCCCCACCUCCACCGAUUUACUCGCCUCCACCACCGGUGUAUUCGCCUCCACCACCGGUGUAUUCACCUCCUCCACCUAUUUAUUCGCCGCCGCCGCCACCACCGGUGUAUUCACCACCGCCACCACCACCUGUUUAUUCACCUCCUCCACCAGUUUUCUCUCCACCGCCACCAUCACCUCCUCCACCAGUUAUGUCACCACCACCGCCGACUCCAUUACCAACGCCACCUUAUUGUGUACGCUCACCGCCACCUCCACCAAAUUCUCCACCUCCUCCGCCUCCACUUACUUACUCCCCUCCAUCCCCUCCCCCUUCCCCCUACUAUUACAAUUCACCACCACCUCCCCCGCCAAACUCACCGUCACCUCCACCACCACCACCGGUUUACAUAUACUCAUCACCACCGCCCCCAUACUCUUCAACCCCGCCUCCUCAUUCACCUCCUCCAUCCCCGGUUCCUUGUAUAGAACCCCCACCCCCACCUCCUCCUUGUAUAGAACCACCUCCAUCACCUCCCCCACCAGUUUAUUACUAUAAUUCUCCGCCUCCACCACCGCCUUCACCAUCACCUCCCCCACCGGUGUAUUAUAGUUCUCCGCCCCCACCAUCACCAUCACCUCCGCCACCGGCACUGCCCCCACCAUCACCUCCACCACCAGUUUAUUAUUAUAAUUCACCACCCCCGCCGUCUCCUUCACCCCCUCCUCCCGUCUACUAUCAUUCCCCACCCCCGCCAUCUCCAUCACCCCCACCCCCAUCAUCGUCACCACCACCACCUACUCCAGUAUAUGAAGGGCCAUUACCACCAGUUAUAGGAGUUUCAUAUGCUUCUCCUCCUCCACCCCCCUUCUAUUGAUUCUUUAAGAAAAUUUCUCUCUAACUCUAUCCUUAAAACACAAAAUUAUACCUACAGUAGAUUGAAGUUGUGGAGAAUAAAUUUGGCAAAGAAAAGAUUGCAACUUUGCAGGGAAAUUGUAUUGUAUAGAGACGAUCAUAAUCUGGACUAGAAAAGCCAGUUUACAGUGCUUGUUGUAACUGGUUUCCCCUUUUUUUUUGGUGAGUUUUAUUGUUAUUAUCCAGCUUCUUUUUUUUCUUUUAACCUUUUAAUGAAUCAUACUUUGGUUUCUUUGUCUUUUUUUUGGUCUUCCAUAAUAAUAAUAGUAUAGUGAUGAGCAUUUUUUAUUUGUAUUGAUUCUCAGAAUUCAGAUCAGUCCCUUUCUAUUUUUAAUGGGUGUUCUUCAUUAUGUUUCUUUCUCCU
rnacentral:lncRNA from 1 species